CCUUGCAAUAUGACGUCAUUGGUGCCAAUUGUUAAAGGAAUGACGUCAUAAGACUUUAUUAGACGCGUUUCACGUGGUGUAUGUAGGUGUGUGGUUCUAUCUUCUCAGAUGCGCAGCCUAGCUAUUGUUUUGUUCGGUGCCGAGCUGUCCAAGAUACAACGCUAAGCACAAUUACUCUAAAAUUAUUUCGUUUUCCAAAUUCGCGACUGAGAAGACAACAAUGCACUGUUAACAUACUGUAAGAUUCGCGAUUAUGGUUGGAAGGGUCCGUUGUAUGAAUUCAGAUGAAUUGCGCUUAUUCGUUCAUUUGUGUUGCGCAUAAUGGCUCUUGCUGAGUUGCUGUCGUCUUCUAUGAGAGUUUAGAUACCUGCUGGUUCUGAAACCACAGGACCAUAUGUAACUAAUAAUAACAAUAAAAAAAACUCGCCAAAAAAUUAUAGACGAGGCCGAAGGCCGUUUUUGUUACUAUUAUUAGUUACAUAUGGUCCUGUGCUGAAACUGAUCGGAAGCGGAUGGUGUACGAUCCUUAUGCUAAAGGGACAGAACUUUCAUCAAGACCCUGACUGGGAUGUUUUUGUAAACAAACGCCGUAAGGUUGAAGUAACUCGAUCAGUUUCGAGCCAAGUCAUGCCAGUCCAUCAUGGUGUAAAGUCGCUGUCCAAUGUACACCAGAAGCAUGGCACACCGUGCUUCACAGUAUGAGGUACAAAAUAAUAUUUUGACAAUGAAUAAUCACACAAUGUAAAUACUAUAUGCAAAUAAUUUCUGUAUUGAACUAUUUUGUGUAUCUAUUAUAUUCUAUAUUUUGUUGUAAAAGUGUAGUGUGGAUGACAAAUGAACGUAUACUGUGAAUGACAUAUAAAAGUUUAGAUCUGAUACAAUUUGUACACAGUUAACUGAUGAUAUUUGUAUUCAGGCACCCAGUGUCAUGCCUCACACUGCUGCAGAUUAUUACCACCUUCUUUUACAAUUAUUUAGUCAGUGUACAUAUUGUUUUUGACAAAUCUAUGUUAAAAUUAUUUUUAUAUUUUUCAGGUCCCACAAUGAUAUGGAAGAGUAUAAAUGCGACAAAACCCUUUCCAUAUUCAUAAGAAAUCUUUGUAAAAAAACAGUUGAUGUUGGACCCUAUUUCCAUGUUUGAGGGGAGAAAGAUUUCCUCAUCUUACUCACGAGUAGAUGCAUAUGGAUCACCAGAAUUACCUUGAUGCCAAGCAUAACUGCACCUCAAGAGCAUCUCAGACUAUAACAUAUCUUCAGAUUUUUUUUUCUUGGAAUAUUUUGUGGUCAAGCAUUACAUUGCCUAUGAAAGAACAACUCUUGUUGUGUAUACAGGUGUAAACAUAUUAAAGUUCUAUCUGAACAUUUUGCUGAAGUAUUGGCUCUGUAAAUGAUGUCUGUGACCAUCAGAAUACACCAUAUACACUGGACACUUGCUGGAACAGGACCUACUUGUCAUCAACAUGGUGUUGCAGAACAUCUUGGGACUCUCUCAUAAAGUCCAGUGUGAAUCUAGAUACUGACACCAGUAACAGUGCAUGCUGGCACAUUUAUUUGUUCAGGCUUGGCAUUUGGGAAUAUUUGCCAUGAAUGUUUAAUACUCAUGACCUUGAAAUAAAAUUACUGAAUAGAG